CCCUACGGGGUGCAGCAGGCGGGAGCGUUUUUCGGCGAGGGCUUUGUCCCAAGCGGCGUUGGGAGUCAGGCCGGUGGUGCGGCAGACGUGGUGCUGGUUGUGCCAGUCCAGUUGGAGUUGGAGGAGUUGAUUGGCCGCUUGGAAAUCGGGGAUGCGUUCGUCGGCCAGGCGGGUGACGAGCCGUUUCUGAAAGGUGUCGAAGCGGCGUUCGAUUUUACCUUUGGCAGGCGCGUCGGGGGCGACGCGGGGGGCGACGCCCAAGGCGGUGAAGGCGCGUUGGAAUUGGGAAUGGGUGUCGAGGCGGUCGGCGGGGGAGCGAUGGCCGAAGAGCGAUAAGCCGUCGGUGGAGAGGGUGGCGGGGGAGC
rnacentral:rRNA from 1 species